rnacentral:rRNA from 1 species
UCAGGAUGAACGCUAGCGGCAGGCCUAACACAUGCAAGUCGAGGGGCAGCACGGGUAGCAAUACUUGGUGGCGACCGGCGCACGGGUGAGUAACGCGUAUGCAACCUACCUUUUACCGGGGGAUAGCUCGUCGAAAGGCGAAUUAAUACCCCAUAACACAGGGAUACCGCAUGGUAAUAUUUGUUAAAGCUCCGGCGGUAAAGGAUGGGCAUGCGUGCCAUUAGUUAGUUGGUGAGGUAACGGCUCACCAAGACUACGAUGGCUAGGGGGUCUGAGAGGAUGAUCCCCCACACUGGAACUGAGACACGGUCCAGACUCCUACGGGAGGCAGCAGUGAGGAAUAUUGGUCAAUAGGGGCAACCCUGAACCAGCCAUGCCGCGUGAAGGAAGAAUGCCCUAAGGGUUGUAAACUUCUUUUGUACGGGGGUAAUUACAGGUACGUGUACCUGUUUGAAAGUACUGUACGAAUAAGCAUCGGCUAACUCCGUGCCAGCAGCCGCGGUAAUACGGAGGAUGCGAGCGUUAUCCGGAUUUAUUGGGUUUAAAGGGUGCGUAGGCGGGUUUGUAAGUCAGCGGUGAAAGACUGUCGCUUAACGAUAGCAUUGCCAUUGAUACUGCAAGUCUUGAGUACAUUUGAGGUAGGCGGAAUGUGUAGUGUAGCGGUGAAAUGCUUAGAUAUUACACAGAACACCAAUUGCGAAGGCAGCUUACUAAACUGUAACUGACGCUGAGGCACGAAAGCGUGGGGAUCAAACAGGAUUAGAUACCCUGGUAGUCCACGCCGUAAACGAUGAUCACUGGAUGUUUGCGAUACACAGCAAGCGUCUGAGCGAAAGCAUUAAGUGAUCCACCUGGGGAGUACGUCGGCAACGAUGAAACUCAAAG